AACUUUCAACAACGGAUCUCUUGGCUCUCGCAUCGAUGAAGAACGCAGCGAAAUGCGAUACGUAAUGUGAAUUGCAGAAUUCAGUGAAUCAUCGAAUCUUUGAACGCACCUUGCGCCCCUUGGCAUUCCGAGGGGCACACCCGUUUGAGUGUCG
rnacentral:rRNA from 6 species